rnacentral:tRNA from 1 species
UGUAGAUAUAGCUUAAGUAAAGCGCCUAACUGUUAUUUAGCUGAUAUAUUUAUAUUAUCUAUG